GUCUAUGGCCAUGCUACCUGAACAAGCCCGAUCCCAUCUGAUCUCGGAAGCUAAGCAGGGUCGGACCUGGUUAGUACUUGGAUGGGAGACCACCUAGGAAGACCAGGUGCUGUAGGCA
rnacentral:rRNA from 1 species